rnacentral:rRNA from 1 species
GACGAACGCUGGCGGCGUGCUUAACACAUGCAAGUCGAACGGAAAGGCCCUGCUUUUGUGGGGUGCUCGAGUGGCGAACGGGUGAGUAACACGUGAGUAACCUGCCCUUGACUUUGGGAUAACUUCAGGAAACUGGGGCUAAUACCGGAUAGGAGCUCCUGCUGCAUGGUGGGGGUUGGAAAGUUUCGGCUGUUGGGGAUGGACUCGCGGCUUAUCAGCUUGUUGGUGGGGUAGUGGCUUACCAAGGCUUUGACGGGUAGCCGGCCUGAGAGGGUGACCGGCCACAUUGGGACUGAGAUACGGACCAGACUCCUACGGGAGGCAGCAGUGGGGAAUAUUGCACAAUGGGCGGAAGCCUGAUGCAGCAACGCCGCGUGCGGGAUGACGGCCUUCGGGUUGUAAACCGCUUUCGCCUGUGACGAAGCGUGAGUGACGGUAAUGGGUAAAGAAGCACCGGCUAACUACGUG